CGAGGAUAAAGGGUCCGAUUGGCCACUACACAGACCAAGGGGCGGAGCCUCUGGUUCACUGUGUACGACUCCUCUCUGCCUCCUUCCUGCUGACUGGACAGAAGAAUGGGCUGGUCUCUGAUAAAGAGGUCCGUGUCAGUGUAAAGGUUCUAGCAGUCAGCUGUAUCGGAGCAGCAGCCGCCCUUCAUCCUGAAGUCUUCUUCAACUCUCUGUACCUGGAACCACUGGACGGAGAGACACAGCAGGAGCAGCAGUAUAUCAGUGAUGUGUUGUGUCUGGUUGCUCAUGGAGACCCUCAGAUCAGAGGUGCAGCAGGGGUGUUGUGUGGCGCCGUUAUCCACUCUGCUCUCACCAAGACACGUUACAACAUACACACCUGG